rnacentral:lncRNA from 1 species
CAUCCGAGGAAUGAUAAAAAUCCAUUUGGGAAACAGAGGCGGUGUGGAGGAUGGGUCAAGAGAGAAUCAGAAGGCAGAUGAUUUACAGCAAUCCAGGCCAGAUAUCAGGAGGGCCUACUCUAAGAUUGCUUUUAGCAUAGCUACUGGGGAAGAGUCGGGCAGGAGAGCCCAGAGGCCCCGCAUGUGAUGGAAACAGCUGCCCAAACUGCAUCUUCAGGUAAAUAUGGCAGACCAUAGUUCCCCCUUCAUAAAGGCCUCUUGGGCGUGUUUCCUGGAAGGAAGAGGUGGGAGAUGUCGCCAUGCUCAGCACAUACGUGAGGUGUUGCAUUAGUCUCCUGGGGCUGCCGUAACAAAGUACCACAAAGCAGAUGGAAACAACAUGCAUUUUUCCCCCCACAGUUCUGGAAGGUGGAAGGCCAGGAUCAGGUGUCAGGAGGGUUGGUUUUUUCUGGGGGUUCUGAGAGAAUCUGAGGGGAAUUCCAUGGCUUUCUCCCAGCUUCUGGUAGUUGCUGGCAAUCCCUGGUGUUCCUGGGCCUGUAGACACGUCACCCCCAUCUCCGCCUCUGUUUUCAUGUGGCAUCCUCCCCGGUGCGUGUCUGUGUGCCCCAACCCCCUUGUCUUAUGAGGCCCACUCUAAUCCAACAGGACCUCGUCUUUACAUAAUCAGAUCUGCUAAGAUCCUGUUUCCAAAUAAGGCCAUGUUCACAGAUACCUAGGGUUAGGACUUGGACAUAUCUUUUGGGGGGACCCGAUUCAACUCACAACAGGUGUUUGAGGGCAGCUCUAGUUGAGAGUGUCAGAGAACCUCUGGCUUAAAGGAGGAACAGGGAGUCUAUCUGGUCACACCGCGUUUCUGAAGCUUUCGAUUCCUCUUCGGCUCUGCUCUCUGCAGCCGCCCUGCCUUCCCUCUGCGCGUCUGAGCCGAGUCCCCGGCGCCCAGGGGCGGGGCGGCGGGGUGGGGACACUCAUGGACCCCCCAGCGAGGACCUGCUGGGUGCGACUACAUGGUCACCCGAAGGACCCUGAGAGAGGGGCAGCUGUAGGGGGUCCUUGAAGAGGGUCUGACUGCGGGGUUUGUGAGCGUCAGCGCGGGGGAGGCUUGGGCCUGGAAAGAUGGGGGAGAUCUGGCCGAUAGAGACGUGAGUGCCCCAGAAAGGGGGGCCGAGGUGGUGGAGGCGGGCGCGCGGCUAGCUGGGGUCCAGGACAGGAGGGGCGGGAGGCAGCCGGGAAGGCCUCAGGCAGGGCCAGCGAGCAGCACCUCCUGCAGCCUGCCAAGUGCAGGUACGAGGCCACCCCUGCCCUCACCUAUGUGUGACGCGUCGAGGUAACCUUUCUGAGCGUUGACUUGUCCACAUAUGCCAGUGGGGCAAUCUCUGAGGGUGAUGAACAUGUGUAACAUAUGGGAAGCUGUAUAGUGGCCUUCCCAGCGUGGCUGCUUCAUAAACUUAGUCCCUUUCCCUCCUGGAGGAAGGAAGUCAACCCAGAGGCUUCUCACUAAUGGGCACUUUCCUAGCACAGGUAAGCGUCAAAUGGAAUCAAACAGAAGAGGCAUCUCAGAGUUCAACAGAACAGGUGCCUGGCCUAGCUGGCCUCCGUUUGGGGGAUGAAUAAGAAUCCCCUUACAGGCCAGGUGCGGUGGGUGGCUCACGCCUGUAAUCCCAACAUUUUGGGAGGCCGAGGCGGAGGGAUCACGAGCUC